AACGAACGCUGGCGGCAGGCUUAACACAUGCAAGUCGAGCGCCCCGCAAGGGGAGCGGCAGACGGGCGAGUAACGCGUGGGAAUCUACCCAUCUCUACGGAAUAACGCAUGGAAACGUGUGCUAAUACCGUAUACGUACUUCGUGAGCAAGAUUUAUCGGAGAUGGAUGAGCCCGCGUUGGAUUAGCUAGUUUGUGGGGUAAAGGCCUACCAAGGCGACGAUCCAUAGCUGGUCUGAGAGGAUGAUCAGCCACACUGGGACUGAGACACGGCCCAGACUCCUACGGGAGGCAGCAGUGGGGAAUAUUGGACAAUGGGCGCAAGCCUGAUCCAGCCAUGCCGCGUGAGUGAUGAAGGCCCUAGGGUUGUAAAGCUCUUUCACCGGUGAAGAUAAUGACGGUAACCGGAGAAGAAGCCCCGGCUAACUUCGUGCCAGCCGCCGCAGUAAGAC
rnacentral:rRNA from 1 species